UUAUCUUCUUGUCAUCUCAUGCCAAAGCCAAGAGUGAACUACCCUCCAAUCCAAUGCUGGCGCUGAUUCAGAACUGCUCCAUGCCACUCGCACGUACGGUGCGACCUCCGUCUCGCACGCAGAUGCAACCUUAUUUCUCGUCCGCUGUGCGUGCAUCCAUGUCCCCACGUGUCAAAUCCCCGUCUCAGGUUCUCCUUGGUUAGUCAGAGAAGGAGCUGGAACAGCUUGCCCUUAACUGCGGUCAGGAAACCUACAGGGGCAAGCAACUUUAUCAUUUCUUAUACCAGAGGAAGUUUAGAGAAAUUAAGGAUUUCUAUCAGUG
rnacentral:sRNA from 1 species